rnacentral:rRNA from 1 species
ACGUAGGGUGCGAGCGUUGUCCGGAAUUAUUGGGCGUAAAGAGCUCGUAGGCGGCCUGUCGCGUCGGAUGUGAAAGCCCGGGGCUUAACCCCGGGUCUGCAUUCGAUACGGGCAGGCUAGAGUGUGGUAGGGGAGAUCGGAAUUCCUGGUGUAGCGGUGAAAUGCGCAGAUAUCAGGAGGAACACCAGCGGCGAAGGCGGCGCUCUGGGCCGGUACUGACACUGAGGAGCGAAAGCGUGGGUAGCAAACAGG